GGGCGCUUAGCUCAGCUGGUUCAGAGCACCUGCCUUACAAGCAGGGGGUCGGCGGUUCGAAUCCGUCAGCGCCCA
rnacentral:tRNA from 2 species